UACGUAGGGGGCAAGCGUUGUCCGGAUUUCUUGGGCGUAAAGAGCGUGUAGGCGGCCACACAGGUCAGCUGUGAAAACUCGAGGCUCAACCUCGAGACGUCGGUUGAAACCGUAUGGCUAGAGUCCGGAAGAGGAGAGUGGAAUUCCCGGUGUAGCGGUGAAAUGCGCAGAUAUCGGGAAGAACACCCGUGGCGAAGGCGGCUCUCUGGGACGGUACUGACGCUGAGACGCGAAAGCGUGGGGAGCGAACAGG
rnacentral:rRNA from 1 species